rnacentral:rRNA from 1 species
UAAAGGCCUUUUUGCUCUUUAUAGAAAGUUAGCGGCGGACGGGUGAGUAACACGUGGGUAACCUGCCCAUAAGACUGGGAUAACUCCGGGAAACCGGGGCUAAUACCGGAUAACAUUUUGAACCGCAUGGUUCGAAAUUGAAAGGCGGCUUCGGCUGUCACUUAUGGAUGGACCCGCGUCGCAUUAGCUAGUUGGUGAGGUAACGGCUCACCAAGGCAACGAUGCGUAGCCGACCUGAGAGGGUGAUCGGCCACACUGGGACUGAGACACGGCCCAGACUCCUACGGGAGGCAGCAGUAGGGAAUCUUCCGCAAUGGACGAAAGUCUGACGGAGCAACGCCGCGUGAGUG